rnacentral:rRNA from 1 species
AGAUUGAACGCUGGCGGCAGGCCUAACACAUGCAAGUCGAGCGGUAGAGAGGUGCUUGCAUCUCUUGAGAGCGGCGGACGGGUGAGUAAUGCCUAGGAAUCUGCCUAGUGGUGGGGGAUAACGUUCGGAAACGGACGCUAAUACCGCAUACGUCCUACGGGAGAAAGCGGGGGACCUUCGGGCCUCGCGCCAUUAGAUGAGCCUAGGUCGGAUUAGCUAGUUGGUGAGGUAAUGGCUCACCAAGGCGACGAUCCGUAACUGGUCUGAGAGGAUGAUCAGUCACACUGGAACUGAGACACGGUCCAGACUCCUACGGGAGCAGCAGUGGGGAAUAUUGGACAAUGGGCGAAAGCCUGAUCCAGCCAUGCCGCGUGUGCGAAGAAGGUC